rnacentral:rRNA from 1 species
CGUAGGAUGCAAGCGUUGUCCGGAUUUAUUGGGCGUAAAGAGUUCGUAGGUGGUUCGUUAAGUCUGGUGUAAAAGACUGGGGCUCAACCCUGGGAUCGCACUGGAUACUGGCGGACUGGAGUGUGGUAGAGGCAAGUGGAAUUCCCAGUGUAGCGGUGAAAUGCGUAGAUAUUGGGAAGAACACCGGUGGCGCAAGCGACUUGCUGGGCCAUAACUGACACUGAGGAACGAAAGCUAAGGGAGCGAAUGGGAUUAGAUACCCCAGUAGUCCUAGCUGUAAACGAUGGAUACUAGACGUAUCGGGUAUCGACCCCUGAUGUGUCGCAGCAAACGCGAUAAGUAUCCCGCCUGAGUAGUACGGCCGCAAGGUUG